AGAGUUUGAUUAUGGCUCAGGAUGAACGCUAGCGAUAGGCUUAACACAUGCAAGUCGAGGGGCAUCACGUCUUCGGAUGGUGGCGACCGGCGCACGGGUGAGUAACACGUAUGCCACCUACCCAUAACUGGGGGAUAGCUCGUCGAAAGGCGAAUUAAUACCGCAUAAAGCAGGGGCACCGCCUGGUGCUAUUUGCUAAAGAUUUAUUGGUUAUGGAUGGGCAUGCGCUCCAUUAGGUAGUUGGUAUGGGUAACGGCCUACCAAGCCAUCGAUGGAUAGGGGAACUGAGAGGUUUAUCCCCCACACUGGUACUGAGACACGGACCAGACUCCUACGGGAGGCAGCAGUGAGGAAUAUUGGUCAAUGGGCGAGAGCCUGAACCAGCCAAAUCGCGUGAAGGAUGACGGUAUUAUGUAUUGUAAACUUCUUUUAUGAGGGAAUAAAGUGGGGCAUGUAUGCCCUUUUGUAUGUACCUUAGGAAUAAGCAUCGGCUAACUCCGUGCCAGCAGCCGCGGUAAUACGGAGGAUGCGAGCGUUAUCCGGAUUUAUUGGGUUUAAAGGGUGCGUAGGUGGAUGGGUCAGUCAGCGGUGAAAUCUUGGAGCUUAACUCCGAUACUGCCGUUGAAACUUCCCAUCUUGAGUGUGAACGAGGUAGGCGGAAUUCGUAGUGUAGCGAAGAAAUGCAUAGAUAUUACAAAAGAACUCCGAUCGCGCAGGCAGCUUACCAGGCACAACUGACACUGAUGC
rnacentral:rRNA from 1 species